CUCGGCACGGCCCGUACCAUCCGG
rnacentral:miRNA from 1 species